GAGUUUGAUCAUGGCUCAGAUUGAACGCUGGCGGCAUGCCUUACACAUGCAAGUCGAACGGCAGCACGGGAGCUUGCUCCUGGUGGCGAGUGGCGAACGGGUGAGUAAUGCCUAGGAAUCUGCCUGGUAGUGGGGGACAACGUUUCGAAAGGAACGCUAAUACCGCAUACGUCCUACGGGAGAAAGCAGGGGACCUUCGGGCCUUGCGCUAUCAGAUGAGCCUAGGUCGGAUUAGCUAGUUGGUGGGGUAAUGGCUCACCAAGGCGACGAUCCGUAACUGGUCUGAGAGGAUGAUCAGUCACACUGGAACUGAGACACGGUCCAGACUCCUACGGGAGGCAGCAGUGGGGAAUAUUGGACAAUGGGCGAAAGCCUGAUCCAGCCAUGCCGCGUGUGUGAAGAAGGUCUUCGGAUUGUAAAGCACUUUAAGUU
rnacentral:rRNA from 1 species